UUGCCCAAGCCUGUGUCCCCAAGGCAAAAAGGGACUGAGCCAGCUGGGGAGAAGCAGGUACUUUGCCACAGUGGAUAGGAGGUGAGGCUGCAUUCCUACUGGGCUCCAAUCACCCUUUGACAUCUACAACUGGUCACUUAUGUAUACUCAGUCUUUGAUCUCUGUGAUGCUGAGCAUUCACUCUCUAAGUGUUGGAACCAAGAAGGUGCCAACCCUGGAGCUGAAGGAUCUGUAAGUUGGGGUGAAGAAUCCACCUGUCCUUUUGGGAGAGCAGGUGGGGAAUGGGCCAAAGAGGAAUCGGAGGACAUACUGCCAGCUGUGCAAGGUAUGGGUACCAAACUUGUCUUAGCCAGGAGAGAGUAAUCAGUAUAAUUUUUGUUUUUUCUCGCCAUAACUUUAACAGGAUGUUGGACAUCAGAGGGAAUAGGAGAAAGGCCUACAAUAGUUCCCUGCCCUGUGGGAAGAUGAGAGCAUCCCCCCAGGAACUGUUUCCCUAGUCCAAGGUUGGAACAGUAGCGGAGACAUUUCUUGUUCUGCUUUUCACAUUCUUCUUCCUUCUGAUGAAACUCUUCUGCGCUGACCAUUUUGGGAAGCUCCCUGAAAUUGAUUCACGACCAUAAUAAAUAUCACCAACCAACCAAUGAUGCACAAGGCAAGACUAGGAUUAGCCAUCCAGUCCAGAAUCAAGUUAUGAGACAGUCCCAACUUCUCACCCAUCUAUUCUGCAAGCCCAGCUCACAGGACAGUUAUUGUCCCAGAUGUAUUUAUGGCCUUGCAAUGUUGUGAUGCUGCUGCCACCUCUUGUGAUGUUGUUGAAUUGUGAUAAGAGAAUGCAAUGUUGUCGUACAAUGAUGUAAUGUCAAAGUCCCGGCCUGUGGGCCAUCUGAGGCCUGAGAACCUCCCAACUGCAGCCCGCAGCUCCCGUUGGCUGGAGGAGAGGGACAGAGAUACUAUUCACUAGUCGCCGGGCAGAGUCAGCCAUGGAGGCAGCAUCAUUAGUUGCCAGGCAGAGUCAGCCCUGGAGGCAGCAUCACUUUUUUCCACAAUGAAUAUAAACAAGUCAAAAUACCGAACACAACUAUCUGGUGCACACUUUGCUGCAAUCCUGAAGUUUCAACUGCUCAGUCACUGAGGCCAAACAUCAACAAACUGACAGAACUGAAGAUUUGCCAGGUGUCUGGCAAACACUAAUAA